rnacentral:rRNA from 1 species
GACGAACGCUGGCGGCGCGCCUAACACAUGCAAGUCGAACGGAGCUGAGAGAAGCUUGCUUUUCUUAGCUUAGUGGCGAACGGGUGAGUAACGCGUGAGUAACCUGCCCUGGAGUGGGGGACAACAGUUGGAAACGACUGCUAAUACCGCAUAAGCCCACGAUCCGGCAUCGGAUUGAGGGAAAAGGAUUUAUUCGCUUCAGGAUGGACUCGCAUCCAAUUAGCUAGUUGGUGAGGUAACGGCCCACCAAGGCGACGAUUGGUAGCCGGACUGAGAGGUUGAACGGGCACAUUGGGAAUGAGACACGGCCCAGACUCCUACGGGAGGCAGCAGUGGGGGAUAUUGCACAAUGGGGGAAACCCCGAUGCAGCGACGCCGCGUGGAGGAAGAAGGUUUUCGGAUUGUAAACUCCUGUCGUUAGGGCCGAUAAUGACGGUACCUAACAAGAAAGCACCGGCUAACUACGUG